ACCCGGUUAGCUCAGUUGGUAGAGCAUCAGACUUUUAAUCUGAGGGCCAUGGGUUCGAGUCCUAUGUCGGGCU
rnacentral:tRNA from 1 species